rnacentral:rRNA from 1 species
AUUGAACGCUGGCGGCAGGCCUAACACAUGCAAGUCGAGCGAGAGGCGGACGGGUGAGUAAUGUAUGGGGACUGCCCGAUAGAGGGGGAUAACUACUGGAAACGGUGGCUAAUACCGCAUACUAUCGGAGAAACCAUAUGGGAUUAGCGAGUAGGUGGGGUAAAGGCUCACCUAGGCGACGAGCUCUAGCUGGCCUGAGAGGAUGAUGAGCCACACUGGACCUGGGACACGGCCCAGACUCCUACGGAGGCAGCAGUGGGGAAUAUUGCACAAUGGGCGCAGGCUUGAUACAGCCAUGCCGCUUGUAUGAAGAAGGCCUUGGGGUUGUAAAGUACUUUCAUCGGGGAGGCGUUACCCGCAGAAGAAGCACCGGCUAACUCCGUGCCAGCCGCCGCGGUAAUAC